rnacentral:lncRNA from 10 species
AAGUCAGGGAACUAGCUUUGGUUGGGUUCGGUGGUACACAAAGCACAAGGCCUGGGUUGGGGUUAGGAGGAAAUGAGACUUGCGGCGGGUCGGGGCUGAAGAUGUGGCAGCGCCCUGAACCUGGAGAAAGGCUGGUACGUAAACGCCUGCGUCGCAAUCUGGAGUCAGCUGGAGUGUCCCGGCAGGUGAGGAAGAGCUGGGGCGCUCAGUUGAGUGCUGGGAGCCAAAGAAGUAAUAACUACCUUUGGUUGGGUGUGGUGGUACACAAAGCACAAGGCCUGGGUGGGGGUUAGGAGGAAAUGAGGCAGGGUUGGCCUCAGACACCAAGGCCUAUCCUAGGGAAAUGGAGAUGGACAGGCGCCAUGGUCUGACAACUAUCUUGAGUGGUGAAAUUGAGGGGACUUGGUGACUGAGUGAAUGGGGAAGAGGGAGCGCUGGGCUAGUGGUGGUUCCGAGUUUCCUGGAUGUGGUGUCAUUUUCUGAGAGGGGGAGAGUAGGAGAAGGGUGAGCAGUGAUAAGUGUAGUUCUAAGGAAUUGGGGUGGCCAUAGGCAGUGGGCAGCUGAUCGUGGGGGUCUGACGCACAGGGAGUGGCACAUAGAGAAGUCACAGGGCAGUGAGAUUUUCAGGGGAAGGGUGGGGGUGGAAGGAGCUGUGAGUGAAAUCCUGUGGCACAGGACUGGGAGUGAGGAGGGGUGAGAGAUAGAAGAAGCCUCCUAGGCUUUCUAGUCUUUCCCUCAAACCCCCUCAGACCUCUGAGCUAUGAAGGAGGGUGGGUUACCCUACCACAAGGGCAGAGGCCUACUCAGGGCCUGAUGCUGAGAUGCAGGAUCCCUCACUCCAGGCCAGGCCUUCCCCACCCUGCAGAGCGCCCCUACACCAGGUGUCGAUAUUGAUUAUGCAAUAGAAAGCAGGAGGCAGCUCCUUGAGGGGGGCUGGGCAUAAACUCACAGCCUGUAAGUGACGGCAUAUGGUGGGAAAGAGUCCGGACCCACCCAGAAACAGGUUUGUGACCUUAACAAGUCACUUAACUCUCUCAGAUCCCAGCAGCUCAUCUGUUAAGUGGAGAUGAUACCAACCUAUUAGGGAUGUUGAGAUAUGUUAGGCACUUAGAACAGUGCCAGGCAGAAAGUAAAUGUAGCCAUUCUUGGAGUUGAGGGUUGGGGCACAGUGCUAUGUCUUACGUUGAGGAGCCAGGGCUGGGCACAUACCUAUAAUCCCAGCACUGUGAGAGGCGAGGUGAGAGGAUCAUUCAAGGUCAUGAAUUUGAGACCAGUCUGGGCAACAUAGCGAGACCCCGUCUCUACAAAAAAUAAUAAUAAUAAAUAAAGACCCAAGUGUUGGAACUGAGCUGCACUCAUCACGCUCCAGUGUUUGAAGGAGGGAUGAGCUGUAUGACAUCAUCUUUCCUAGCUUAGUCUUCUGCGUUGUGGGGCAGGGAUAUUAUCUAAUAACAUGAAGCAACUGCAUUAAAGUGAUGAGUCUGUAGGUGUGAUACAAUUGUCACUGGCCUGCUAGAGUUCCAGGGGGUUUGGAAAUAGCCCUGCUUUAACAUUAGAGUCACCUCGCAAAAAGCUUCUAAAAAUUUU